UACAGAGGGUGCGAGCGUUAAUCGGAAUUACUGGGCGUAAAGCGUGCGCAGGCGGUUAUGCAAGACAGAUGUGAAAUCCCCCCGGCUUAACCUGGGAACUGCGUCUGAUACUGGAAGGCUUGAGGAUGGGAGAGGGAUGUAGAAUUCCAGGUGUAGCGGUGAAAUGCGUAGAUAUCUGGAGGAAUACCGGUGGCGAAGGCGGCAUCCUGGACCAUUACUGACGCUGAGGCGCGAAAGCUAGGGGAGCAAACGGG
rnacentral:rRNA from 1 species